AGCCAGAAAUCCCAGAAGUGCAAAUGAAUGUUCCACUCCAACCAUGGAUGUUUCUCUCACCCACUUGUCGACCAGAUGAUUAGAAACUAAAGAUAUAGUAGCUCGGACCAGAGACGAACCUUGUAACAAGAAAAGGAAUCGCAGAACCAGCAGUCCAUAUCCCGCAGGGGACUCGUAUACGUAGAGAACUUUCCCCGGAUCAAAGUACUGUUGUUCAGUACACAAAAGUGAUGAAUAAAUAGGUGAAGAGGGCGAUGUAAGUCACGCAGUAGAGCGACAUGAAAACAGUCACCUUGACAACCGAACGUGAUCGAAGUCUAGCCCGC